UACGUAGGGAGCAAGCGUUGUCCGGAAUCAUUGGGCGUAAAGCGCGCGCAGGCGGUCCCUUAAGUCUGAUGUGAAAGCCCACGGCUCAACCGUGGAGGGUCAUUGGAAACUGGGGGACUUGAGUACAGAAGAGGAAAGCGGAAUUCCACGUGUAGCGGUGAAAUGCGUAGAGAUGUGGAGGAACACCAGUGGCGAAGGCGGCUUUCUGGUCUGUAACUGACGCUGAGGCGCGAAAGCGUGGGGAGCAAACAGG
rnacentral:rRNA from 1 species